rnacentral:rRNA from 1 species
GGACUGCCAUACGAACUAGCCCAUUAGCCGAAAUUCCUGGGAAGGAAUGCCGAAGAAUGUGAAAGCCAUGUAAGCGAAAAUGGAAAAGGGACAGGCAGCACCAGAGUACCGCGGGACACGAGAAACCCCGUGGGAAGCCGGGGGGACCACCCUCCAAGGCAAAACACAGAUAUCGACCGAUAGCGCAUAGUACCAUGAGGGAAAGGUGAAAAGCACCCCGGGAGGGGAAUGAAAGAGAACCUGAAACCGUAUGUUUACAAGCAGUCGAAGACCGCUUAAUAAUAAGGUCAACGGCGUGCCUAUUGAAGAAUGAACCGGCGAGUUAUGAGGUCCAGCAAGGUUAAGCAGGAAAUGCGGAGCCGAAGCGAAAGCGAGUCUUAAUAGGGCGACAAGUUGGAUUGCAUAGACCCGAAACCACAGUGAUCUACCCAUGUCCAGGCUGAAGCACAGGUAAAAAUGUGUGGAGGGCCGAACCUAUAUCCGUUGAAAAGGGUUAGGAUGAGGUGUGGGUAGGGGUGAAAUUCCAAUCGAACGUGGAGAUAGCUGGUUCUCCCCGAAAUAGCUUUAGGGCUAGCCUCGAGGUAGAGAUUGCAGGCGGUAGAGCACUGAUCAGGAGAGGGGCCUACCCGGCUACCAAACCCAGUCAAACUACGAAUGGCUGCAAUUAUACUCGGGAGUCAGACUACGACUUAUAAGGGCCGUGGUCAAAAGGGAAACAGCCCAGAUCAUCAGCUAAGGUCCCAAAUGCCGUGCUAAGUGGCGAAGGAUGUGGCGUUUCAUAAACAACCAGGAUGUUGGCUCAGAAGCAGCCACCAUUUAAAGAGUGCGUAAUAGCUCACUGGUCGAGAGACGCUGCGCCGAAAAUGUCCGGGGCUCAAGCACGGAACCGAAGCUAUGGCAUUGACUAUGUCAAUGGGUAGGGGAGCGUUCUUAACAGGAAGAAGCAUGACCGGAAGGACAUGUGGACCGUUAAGAAGUGAGAAUGCCGGUAUGAGUAUCGAAAAGAAAGGUGAGAAUCCUUUCCACCGAAAGCCCGAGGGUUCCUGAGCAACGAUCGUCGUCUCAGGGUAAGUCGGGACCUAAGCCGAGGCGGAGACGCAUAGGCGAUGGACAACAGGUUGAAAUUCCUGUACCGGAUACAAUCGUUUGAGCGAUGGAGCGACGCAGAAAGGCAUAUGAUCGCGCGACUGGAAGAGCGCGUCCAAGUGCGUAUGUUGAAUCGGAGGCAAAUCCCUGAUUCUGAAAGCAGAGACACGAUGGGGAGUUAUACGAAAGUAUGACGAACUCAUAGAUCCUACACUGCCAAGAAAAACUUCUAGUGAGAAAGUAUCCGCCCGUACCGUAAACCGACACAGGUAGGCGGGGAGAGAAUCCUAAGGUGCGCGGGAAAACCCUCGUUAAGGAACUCGGCAAAUUGCAUCCGUAACUUAGGGAGAAGGAUGACCUUAAGUAAGCGAAAGGGAGAAACCCCUGGAACAGAACAAGGUGGCAGAAAAGAGGCCCAAGCAACUGUUUACCAAAAACACAGGUGCCUGCGAAAGCGAAAGCUGAAGUAUAGGUGCUGACGCCUGCCCGGUGCUGGAAGGUUAAGGAGAGAUGUCAGAGCAAUCGAAGCAUUGAACUGAAGCCCCAGUGAACGGCGGCCGUAACUAUAACGGUCCUAAGGUAGCGAAAUUCCUUGUCGGGUAAGUUCCGACCCGCAUGAAAGGCGUAAUGAUUUGGGCACUGUCUCAACGAGGGGCCCGGUGAAAUUGAAAUACCUGUGAAGAUGCAGGUUACCCGCGACUGGACAGAAAGACCCCAUGGAGCUUCACUGCAGCUUGAGAUUGAAUCUCGGUGAUGCAUGCACAGGAUAGGUGGGAGACUUUGAAGUAUGGGCUUUGGCUUAUAC